rnacentral:rRNA from 1 species
AAAGCUUACAUCUCUUCGGAGCAUUUUACGAGGUGCUGCAUGGUUGUCGUCAGCUCGUGCCGUGAGGUGUCCGGGUUAAGUCCCAUAACGAGCGCAACCCCUACCUUUAGUUGCCAUCAGGUAAUGGCUGGGGACUCUAAAGGAACUGCCUACGCAAGUAGUGAGGAAGGCGGGGAUGACGUCAAAUCAGCACGGCCCUUACGUCCAGGGCUACACACGUGCUACAAUGGCCGAUACAGAGGGCAGCUACCUGGUGACAGGAUGCAAAUCUACCAAAGUCGGUCUCAGUUCGGAUCGGAGUCUGCAACCCGACUCCGUGAAGUUGGAUUCGCUAGUAAUCGCGCAUCAGCCAUGGCGCGGUGAAUACGUUCCCGGGCCUU